rnacentral:rRNA from 1 species
GGAAGUAAAAGUCGUAACAAGGUCUCCGUUGGUGAACCAGCGGAGGGAUCAUUAUAGAGUUCUAAAAAAACUCCUAAACCCAUGUGGACAUACCUAUGUUGCCUCGGCAGGUCGCGACGCUACCUGGCGGAAGACGCCCCGUAGUCCGCGGGUAAGCCUGCCGAUGGACCGCUAAACUCUGUUUGUAAUUGAGUUCUGAGCGCGAAAAAAAACUUAAUCAGUUAAAAACUUUCAACAACGGAUCUCUUGGUUCUGGCAUCGAUGAAGAACGCAGCGAAAUGCGAUAAGUAAUGUGAAUUGCAGAAUUCAGUGAAUCAUCGAAUCUUUGAACGCACAUUGCGCCCAUUAGUAUUCUAGUGGGCAUGCCUGUUCGAGCGUCAUUUCAACCCUUAAGCCCUUGUUGCUUAGCGUUGAGAGCCUACUAGCAGCGCUGUAGCUCUUUAAAUUCAGUGGCGGAGUCUGUCUCGCACUCUAGACGUAGUAAGCAUACUUUCUCGUCUGCAGUUGAGCCAGUCUCUUGCCGUAAAACCCCUUCUUGAUAUCAAGGUUGACCUCGGAUCAGGUAGGAAUACCCGCUGAACUUAAGCAUAUCAAUAAGCGGAGGA